rnacentral:rRNA from 1 species
UCAUAGAGAUCUUUAUUUUAAUGUUGGCAUACAACUUGGAUUCAAAUAAAAAAAGGGACGAAUGGAUAACUAGGAUGGACCAAAUAGGACGGAAACCCCGAAAAGGCGAGGAAGAGACUUAGAAAUCGUAUGUCCUAGCGGAAACGCAGUAAAGAGAACUGGGAAGUGAAACAUCUCAGUACCAGAGCCGGAUCUUAAGAGAUCUCUUAAGGGUCCGUGGCGCAGGGAAAUCAAACGAGACUCCGUGAGUAGCGGUGAGCGAAAAUGGAUUAGUCCAAUGACUCAUUUAAAGCGAGUAAAUAAUGGAAGAUAGGUGCUCACACAUCUAAGACUAGAUGUUGGUCUCAUACCGAGAAAGGGAGUACUGUAAAGGAAAGUUGAAAGAGAUUUUAAAAGAUCUUGAAAUGAGUCCCUUAAAGCAGUUGUAAUACAACGUACCUUUUGUAUAAUGGGUUCACAAGAUAAAAUUUGGCAAACUUAAGUUCUAAGUAACAAAGGUAAAGCGAAACCAAGGGGGAAGUCCCUUUUAGUCAAAUUACCCGAAACCAAGUGAUCUAACCAUGGACAGCUCAAAGGAGCGAACCGGUGGUUGUAGCAAAAACCUCGGAUGAUCCGUGGUUAGGGGUGAAAGACCAAUCGAACUUGGAGAUAGCUGGUUUUCUGCGAAAACUAUUUAAGUAGUGCGCCUACAAAAUUAGAGCCCUUAUUGGAAACACACCAAGAUAUGGGAAUUUAUUUUUUCAUGGUAAAGUUCGAUCGCUUAAAAUUAAGGGAUUAACUGUGAACGUAAGAAAAUCGAAGUAGGUAGACAGACAGUAGGCGAUAAGGUUAAUUGUCAAAAGGGCAAGCCCUAAUCAGAAGUUAAAGUCAUAGAUUAAUUUAGGGUCCAAAAGGAUUUAAACAGUCAAGUGAGAAAGAGAUAUUGGGUUUAGACAAUGAGGAAGUAGGCUUGGAGCCAGCCACCUUUGAAAGAUGACGUAGCAGUUCACUCAAAAAAUUCUCCUAUCUCUAAAAUUAGGGUGGCUAAAUUGGAACUGAAACUCUGAAGGCGGCAUCCGCUUGGUAGCAGAACGUACUGUGAAAUAGCUCAGUGAGGACCCUAAGCAUCAGAAACGAUAAUGUGAACAUGAGUAAAAAAUCGUUGGAUCACUCCCCUAGGUCUCCAAGCUUGAGGGCUUGGGCCAUACAGUCCCUAAGACGGCAGCCUAAAGGCCGCAUCGAUAGGACAUAGUAAUAGACGCACUUGGUGCCAGGAAAAGAUUACUAGGCAUUCGGCCCCCUCUCUGUCCCUAUAAGGGGGAAGGAGAUGGGGCUCAUAGAAGUUACACUGUACUAACCUAACACAAGUGGGGGAUAGUGAGGGGAAAAGUUUUCUUAAGGAACUCGGCAAAAAUUUUGACACCCCAUUAGGGGGUUAUUUUAUAAUACAGGGCCUCGACUGUUUACCAAAAACAUAGCUCUCUGCCAAUAUGUAAAUAGAAGUAUGGAGGGUGAGGCCUGCCCAAUGGUUGUAUCUAAAAGGGUCGGUAAAAGCCGACCUCAUAAAGACAAUUCAAUGGCCGCGGUAACACUGACCGUGAUAAUGUAGCGUAAUCAAUAGCCAAUUAAUUGUUGGCCGGUAUGAAUGGCGUCACGAAGGCCCCACUGUCUUAAGAAAAUUCCCAGUGAAAUUGAAUUCGUAGUGAAGAUGCUACGUCCAAAUUGUUAGACGAAGAGACCCCAUUGAGCUUUACUGGAAACUUAUACGGCUGAAAUAUAUUUGGCUCAUAAAGACUGAUCUCGAUAAGAUCUAUUAAGAGCGAGGGAUUUAAACUUAAAUAAAUAGCUAAAUUAUGUGGUGUAAGACAUUUUGUCAAAGUCUUAUUCUUCGAUCCUACUCUCAUAAAGAGAAAAGGGAUCUUAAUCUAAGAUUUUACCGUUUUAGGCUAUCGGUCGAAGCCGUAGGCCAAUGGAGCCCACUUUUUUAUUUUAAGAAAGCUAACUCUCUUUCAUGAUUUUGCAAUGAUGAGAGAAACAACGUAAGUUAGACAGUUUGGUUGGGGCGACCGCCUUUUAAAAAGUAACAAAGGUGAGCUUAAGGUGCAUAAUUAAUAACAGCAACCUGACUGCAAGGGGGACGUCCCGAGCAGACACCAGAAGCCGACAAGAACUAUAAUCUGUAAUAGAUACAAAUUCUUAAAGCGGAAAAGGGUGGGCUAUAAUGACCCGUUAAUUUAGAGUGAGAUAGUUAACGAUCAACGGAUAAAAGCUACCAUGGGGAUAACAGCGUAAUAUCGUUCGAGAGCUUCCAUCGACGACGAUGUUUGCGACCUCGAUGUUGAAUUGCAGCAUCCUGGGGUGCAGUCGCUCCCAAGGGUUGGUCUGUUCGUCCAUUAAGGCUGCACAUGAUUUGAGUUAAAAGCGUGGUAACACAGCUUGGUUUCUAUCUACAAUUUGAAGAAACAUCGAUAUAAUUAUUUUCUAGUACGAAAGGACCGAAAGAUUAAUGAUCCUCUUAUUUUCUAUAAGUUACGAUCAAUUUAGAUCCCUUUGGAUCAGGGCCUCAUAAAAAAAAAUUGGGGGUUUUAGCUAAUCACUGACUGCCUCUAAAGUGUGAAGGACAUAUCGAAUUGUUUAGAUUUUAUUUUAGAUUAAAAAUCAU